AGACAAUAGAUACCCUGGUAGUCCCAGCAGUAAACGGUGCGCGUUUGGUGUGAGCAGAUUCGACUCUGUUCGCGCCGGAGCUAACGCGUUAAACGCGCCGCCUGGGAAGUACGAUCGCAAGAUUAAAACUCAAAGAAAUUGACGGGGGCCCGCACAAGCGGUGGAGUAUGUGGCUUAAUUCGAUGCAACGCGAAGAACCUUACCUGGGUUUGACAUGCAUCUCUAAGGAGGUGAAAGCUUCCAAGGGUAGCAAUACCCGAUUUGCACAGGUGCUGCAUGGCUGUCGUCAGCUCGUGUCGUGAGAUGUUGGGUUAAGUCCCGCAACGAGCGCAACCCUUGUAUGCUGUUGCUAUGCUUACGCAUAGCUCUCUGCGUAGACUGCCCCGUGAAACGGGGAGGAAGGUGGGGAUGACGUCAAGUCAGCAUGGCCCUUACACCCAGGGCUGCACACGUACUACAAUGCUCAGUACAAUUAGAACCUGCCCCGCGAGGGUUGGGAAAUCAGCG
rnacentral:rRNA from 1 species